rnacentral:rRNA from 1 species
CCUUCCGCGCUUCGCUGCGUGUGUUGGUGUUCCGGAACUUUUACUUUGAGAAAAAUAGAGUGUUUCAAGCAGGCUUGUCGCCCUGAAUACUUCAGCAUGGAAUAAUAAGAUAGGACCUUGGUUCUAUUUUGUUGGUUUCUAGGACCAAGGUAAUGGUUAAUAGGGACAGUUGGGGGCAUUCGUAUUUAACUGUCAGAGGUGAAAUUCUUAGAUUUGUUAAAGACGAACUACUGCGAAAGCAUUUGCCAAGGAUGUUUUCAUUAAUCAAGAACGACAGUAGGGGGUUUGAAGACG